rnacentral:rRNA from 1 species
GACGAACGCUGGCGGUGUGCUUCACACAUGCAAGUCGAACGAGGUAGCAAUACCUAGUGGCGGACGGGUGAGUAACGCGUGGGAAUCUGCCCAAGGGUGGGGGAUAACUAGCCGAAAGGUUAGCUAAUACCGCAUAUGCCGUGAGGUAAAAGGAGUAAUCCGCCCCUGGAUGAGCCUGCGUCCGAUUAGCUAGUUGGUAAGGUAAAGGCUUACCAAGGCUACGAUCGGUAGCUGGUCUGAGAGGAUGAUCAGCCACAAUGGGACUGAGACACGGCCCAUACUCCUACGGGAGGCAGCAGUGGGGGAAUUUUACGCAAUGGGGGAAACCCUGACGUAGCGACACCGCGUGAGCGAAGAAGCCCUUUGGGGUGUAAAGCUCUGUCAGCAGGAACGAAAAAAAUAGACGGUACCUGCAGAGGAAGCAUCGGCUAACUACGUGCCAGCAGCCGCGGUAAU